GUGGGCGUAGCUUAGCUGGUCUAAAGCACUGGGUCGUGGACCCGGCAUCGGGAGUUCGAAUCUCCCCGCUCACCCCA
rnacentral:tRNA from 1 species